rnacentral:lncRNA from 1 species
UUUUUAACUCACCUGGCCCAAAGGGCCAAGUGAGCUUUUCCCAUCACUUUGCGUCCGUCGUCUGUCGUCGUCCGUCGUCGUUAACUUUUACAAAAAUCUUCUCCUCUGAAACUACGGGGCCAAAUUAAACCAAACUUGGCCACAAUCAUCAUUGGGGUAUCUAGUUUAAAAAUGUGUCCGGUGACCUGGCCAACCAACCAAGAUGGCCGCCA